AUCUGCAGGUCACUUCCUGGCCAUUGAUUUUUCCUUAAAGAAGAUUCAUUGUUAACGUUUACAAAGCACAGCAAAAUGCACAGGAUCACUGACAUAAAACAAACUUAAAGCAGACUCAGAGCACAUAAGCAGACAUUAGGCUCUGCCCUGCCUGCAUCAAUAAUGUAGUUAAAACAAUGGUGUGGAUCGGUCAUUGUCCCGCUACACUCCACUGUUCGAAGUGGGUUUUUUUGGGAACACAGGAUAGUGAUGAGUAGGCAUUCUCGCUGGACCAUUUGAUCUUAGGCCAGUGUACAGACUGCUUUGUUGCUCUAUUUUCCUUUCCUUUCCUGUUUUCCUGUCUCCCACUCUUGCUAGAAAAAGGUGGCAGUGGCUUUUGACUCAUCUGAGAAUGCAUGACGUAACCGAAGGUCACGUAGCCCUGUGCGGCCAACGCCAAGAUUCCUUCCACUUGGUUUACCUGCUCAGGUAAUAUCGUGUGACUGCUGCUGCUGUAUCCAUAGCAAUGAACCCCUGCAAAUGCCCUCGACCCAGGCUCCUCUGACGGGCUGAUUAGCAUGCAUGG
ensembl:lncRNA